rnacentral:tRNA from 1 species
GCACCUUUAGCUGAGAUGGAUUAGCACUAGCCUGAAGAGCCUGGGAGGUUGGAUCGUUACCAACAGGGUGCACCA